CCCAGCGGUAGUCAGCUGCCCAUGGCUGCUCAGGGCCUGUGCUAGUGUUAUGCUGCUGGGAAAGAAAAGUGCUGCCGCUCGCUCCUGGCACCGCCGGCGCUGUUCUAGUGCCAGUCGCUGCCAGGUUUUGGCAGCACUCUGCAUGCUUGAGAGUGGAGUAACUCCUGCUCGGUGGAGUUAAUCCUAGAUUGGAUGCAGACAAC
rnacentral:snoRNA from 1 species